rnacentral:rRNA from 1 species
AAUUACGAUUCAUAUUUUCUUCAAAAUAAAUUUUAAUCCAAAGUUAAGUGUGCUUGGACGAGAGUAGUACUAGGAUGGGUGACCCCUUGGAAAGUCCUCGUGUUGCAUUCC